rnacentral:rRNA from 1 species
GAUCCUGGCUUAGGAUGAACGCUAGCGGCAGGCUAACACAUGCAAGUCGAGGGGCAACGCGAGUAGCAAUACUUGGCGGCGACCGGCGCAAGGGUGCGUAACGCGUGAGCAACAUGCCCGUAUCAGGGGGAUAAUCCAGGGAAACUUGGUCUAAUACCCAUAGUAAUUUUGUAAGGCAUCUUAUAAGAUUUAAAGCUUUGGUGGAUACGGAUUGGCUCGCGUGACAUUAGCUGGAUGGUAAGGUAACGGCUUACCAUGGCUAUGAUGUCUAGGGGUUCUGAGAGGAAGGUCCCCCACACUGGAACUGAGACACGGUCCAGACUCCUACGGGAGGCAGCAGUGAGGAAUAUUGGACAAUGGAUGGAAAUCUGAUCCAGCCAUGCCGCGUGAAGGAAGAAAGGUCCUAUGGAUUGUAAACUUCUUCUGUAUGGGAGCAAUAAGGCCUACGAGUAGGUUGAUGAGAGUACCAUACGAAUAAGCACCGGCUAACUCCGUGCCAGCAGCCGC